GUGAAAUAACUAAAUUAAAGUGUGUAAUUUUAAUGUCUAACGUUUUUUAUAAAAAAACCCUUCAAUGUUGAUUAUAAAAUGUACAAUAAACUGUUACUGUUGUAACUAUACUGAGACUUUAGAACUUAUAUCUCAAGGUGCUGUCAGAUAGUCAGAGAGGUUGUUGUGGCUAAAAUGGCGAGAAGCAAGUGGUGUCACCUGCGAUAGGAGGAUGCCCGUUAAGCUCAAGGGUAUGAUCUUUAAGACCAUAAUAAGGCCUAUUCUUAUGUAUGGCAGCGAAACAUGGGCGGCAACCAAAAGGAACGUGCAUACCAUUCAAGUUGCUGAAAUGAAGAUGCUGAGGUGGAUGUGCGGCGUGACUAGGCUCGAUAAAAUCCGCAACGAGUACGUGCGUGGAAGUCUCGGUGUACGGGACAUCGCCGACAA